GUCAAGACCUACUCUUUCGUGUGGAAUACAUCAAAGGAAAACUGUAUGCCGGCAUUAAUGACCUUGAGGGUGUUGACUUCCAGAACAGCGUCCAGAACACUGGAACAAAGUUGAUGGAAACAGUG